ACUUCCCUUUCACUCUUAUCCUCCUCACUGUGACACAACUGUUCUUUCAUUACAACACUCUAAAACCCCACACCAAAAAUAUCUCUCUAACCAAACCUCAACAGCACACACACUUCUUCUUCUUCCAACUUCUUUCUCCAAAACUGAAACCCUCUUUCUCAAAACGCAUUUCCCAAUUUCCCAAAACCCUAACCCUAUGGAGCUCUCGCGCCUCUUCGUUUCCGACACGUGCUUCCUCUCCCCUCCGAUUCGCUAUUCCUCUUCGCCCACGUUCUUCGCCGUCAACCUCCGCCGCCGGAGGAGGAGGAGCAGCUUCUGCUCCGCCUCCAACCCCGACACCUUAAUCGCCGGCGGCGAUGCCGUCGUGGCCGGCGUCGGGGAGAAGCACGAGGAGGACCUGAAAUCGUGGAUGCACAAACACGGCCUACCUCCGUGCAAUGUUGUUCUGAAGGAUAAACCUUGCCACAAUGAUUCGCGUAAGCCUAUACAUUACGUUGCAGCUAGUCAAGAUCUUCAGGUUGGUGAUGUUGCAUUCUCCGUUCCUAAUUCCUUGGUGGUUACCCUGGAGAGGGUCUUGGGAAACGAGACUGUUGCUGAGCUAUUGGCUACAAAUAAAUUGUCGGAAUUGGCAUGCUUGGCAUUGUAUCUGAUGUAUGAGAAAAAACAGGGGAAGAAGUCUUUCUGGUAUCCAUACAUCAGGGAGCUUGAUCGACAACGAGGUAGGGGCCAGCUAGCGGUGGAAUCACCUCUUCUAUGGUCAGAAUCUGAGUUGGAUUACCUGUCAGGAAGUCCAAUUAAGGCUGAAAUAAUUCAAAGGGAAGAAGCAAUAAGAAAAGAGUAUAAUGAACUUGACACAGUCUGGUUUAUGGCAGGUUCUCUGUUUCAGCAAUAUCCAUAUGACAUUCCUACGGAGGCUUUUUCAUUUGAGAUUUUCAAACAAGCCUUUGCUGCUAUUCAGUCUUGUGUGGUGCAUUUACAGAAAGUUAGUUUAGCUCGGAGAUUUGCUUUAGUUCCCUUGGGACCUCCUUUGCUGGCCUACCAAAGCAACUGUAAGGCAAUGUUAACUGCAGUUGAUGGUGCUGUUGAGCUCGCAGUUGAUCGCCCAUAUAAAGCUGGGGACCCUAUUGUUGUCUGGUGUGGCCCACAAUCUAACUCAAAGUUACUAAUAAACUAUGGUUUUGUUGAUGAAAAUAAUUCCAAUGAUCGUCUAAUAGUUGAGGCAGCUUUAAAUACUGAAGAUCCACAGUAUCAAGAUAAAAGAAUGGUGGCUCAAAGAAAUGGAAAGUUAUCAGUACAAGUUUUUCAUGUAUAUGUUGGGAAGGAAAGAGAAGCUGUCUUAGAUAUGCUUCCUUAUAUGCGUUUGGGCUAUGUUUCAGAUCCUUCUGAGAUGCAAUCUGUCAUCUCCUCUCAAGGUCCAGUUUGUCCUGUAAGCCCUUGUAUGGAACGGGCUGUGUUGGACCAGCUGGCUGAUUAUUUCAAGACACGACUGGCUGGUUACCCUACAACAUUGGCUGAAGAUGAAUUGAUGCUGACAGAUGGUAAUCUGAAUCCAAAGAAGCGAGUUGCUACCCAAUAUGUUAGGCUGGAAAAAAAAAUGCUCCAUGCCUGUUUGCAGGCAACCACUGAUUUCAUAAAUCAGCUACCAGACCACAGUAUAUCUCCAUGCCCUGCUCCCUAUGCCCCUUUAUUGAAAUGAAAGGAAUUGAAUGUCUGUACUGUACAACAUGGAUCGCAGAGUCAGGUCAGUCAAAUUAAAUACUGGAUAUGCAUUCUAUUAGAAAUCACCUGAAUUAGGGUAAUUUUAGUUUACCCUCUUCAUGCCUAUUUCAGGAUGUGGAUUAGACUUUUAAGGAUUUGAUACGAUUUCUAACUGCUUGAGUUGAUGCUUUUGCAUCAUGGACUAGGAUCUAGUUGUAGUAGUAGUGGAGUGGACUGAUAAUUCCUGUAUCUAAAGAAAGAACAAGGCAUGGCGUUUAAUUUUGAAAAACCAUGACACAUUGAAUAAUGUAAUUUCUGAAUACUAUGAUGGAUUGAUUUCGUAGGUCAAUUACAAGUUCAUAUAUUUGAAUCAUGGCUCAUUGAACAAUGAUGCAAGAGUGUCCCGGAUUAAAAUGGUUACAGGUGUGCUUUUCCGGUGAAGAUAAAAAUCCCAGUGAGUGUUUUCUGUGUGCCUCUUCAUGAAGGCGUUGCUUCAUUCCCUAGGUAGGAAAGGAAGCACCAUCACUUGGGAAAAUUUUUGUGUCUUACUGUAAUUGCACUGAUGGUUAUAAAUGAGUGUUGGAAUGAUACUCAUCUUUGUAAAUGGAAACCUGAAUCACAAAUUCUAAUUCAAUUGUGUAUAUAGUUCUAUGCAGUUCUCUGGAUUAUAUUGA